rnacentral:rRNA from 1 species
AACGCGAAGAACCUUACCUGGGCUCGAAAUGUAGUGGAAUCGGGUGGAAACAUCCGCGCCCCUUAAAAGGCUGCUAUAUAGGUGCUGCAUGGCUGUCGUCAGCUCGUGUCGUGAGAUGUUGGGUUAAGUCCCGCAACGAGCGCAACCCUUAUUGCCAGUUGCCACCGGGUUAUGCCGAGCACUCUGGCGAAACCGCGCGGGAUAACCGCGAGGAAGGUGGGGAUGACGUCAAGUCCUCAUGGCCUUUAUGUCCAGGGCUACACACGUGCUACAAUGGUGGUGACAGUGGGAUGCAAAGGGGCGACCCCUCGCAAAUCUCCAAAAGCCAUCUCAGUUCAGAUUGCACUCUGCAACUCGAGUGCAUGAAGGUGGAAUCGCUAGUAAUCGUAGAUCAGCAUGCUACGGUGAAUACGUUCCCGGGCCUUGUACACACCGCGCAUA